UGGGGGAUCGUCUAACGGCAGGACUGCAGACUCUGACUCUGCCUAUCCAGGUUCGAAUCCUGGUCCCCCAGCCA
rnacentral:tRNA from 1 species